rnacentral:rRNA from 1 species
UACGUAGGUGGCAAGCGUUGUCCGGAAUUAUUGGGCGUAAAGAGCUCGUAGGCGGUCUGUCGCGUCUGCUGUGAAAACUCAGGGCUUAACCCUGAGCUUGCAGUGGGUACGGGCAGACUAGAGUGCGGUAGGGGAGACUGGAAUUCCUGGUGUAGCGGUGAAAUGCGCAGAUAUCAGGAGGAACACCGGUGGCGAAGGCGGGUCUCUGGGCCGAUACUGACGCUGAGGAGCGAAAGCGUGGGGAGCGAACAGG